UCCUACGGGAGGCAGCAGUAGGGAAUCUUCCGCAAUGGACGAAAGUCUGACGGAGCAACGCCGCGUGAGUGAAGAAGGUUUUCGGAUCGUAAAACUCUGUUGUUAAAGAAGAACAAGGAUGAGAGUAACUGCUCAUCCCCUGACGGUAUUUAACCAGAAAGCCACGGCUAACUACGUGCCAGCAGCCGCGGUAAU
rnacentral:rRNA from 1 species